rnacentral:ncRNA from 1 species
CGCAUCCGCUAGGGGUGUUGGGCCGUUCGAUACCGUGCGAGCCCGACUGAGAACAAACCCUUCGAACCUGUUGAGGUAAUCCUCGCGCAGGGAAGCCAUCUGCCCGUCGA